GGGGGAUAUUGCACAAUGGAGGAAACUCUGAUGCAGCGACGCCGCGUGAGGGAAGACGGUCCUACGGAUUGUAAACCUCUUUUGUCGGGGAGUAACGUGCGGGACGGGUCCCGUAUUGAGAGUACCCGAAGAAAAAGCAUCGGCUAACUCCGUGCCAGCAGCCGCGGUAAUACGGAGGAUGCGAGCGUUAUCCGGAUUUAUUGGGUUUAAAGGGUGCGCAGGCGGCGCGCCAAGUCAGCGGUCAAAGUUCCGGGCUCAACCCGGUGUCGCCGUUGAAACUGGCGUGCUCGAGUGCGUGCGAGGAAGGCGGAAUGCGUUGUGUAGCGGUGAAAUGCAUAGAUAUGACGCAGAACUCCGAUUGCGAAGGCAGCUUUCCAGCGCGCUACUGACGCUGAGGCACGAAAGCGUGGGGAUCGAACAGGAUUAGAUACCCUGGUAGU
rnacentral:rRNA from 1 species